rnacentral:rRNA from 1 species
UACGUAGGUGGCAAGCGUUGUCCGGAUUUACUGGGCGUAAAGAGCGCGCAGGCGGUCGUUCAAGUCGCGUGUGAAAGCCCCCCGGCUCAACUGGGGAGGGUCACGCGAUACUGAUCGACUCGAAGGCAGGAGAGGGAAGUGGAAUUCCCGGUGUAGUGGUGAAAUGCGUAGAUAUCGGGAGGAACACCAGUGGCGAAGGCGGCUCGCUGGGCCGGUCCUGACGCUGAGACGCGAAGGCGUGGGGAGCGAACGGG